AAAUUUCCCUGUUUCAGAAAGCUGGAGGCGUGGAGCUCUGACUCAGUGCAAUAAAACACCCGUUCAGCAACUUCUGCGACUUCGUCAAGAUUGUAAAUUUGUUUCAGGAGGCACUGGCACCUGUGGAGCCCAGUACUAAGGUGCCACUCACAGCAGCUGCUUUUAAUGUAGCAGCGAUCUCGAUGGCAUCAACCUCUGCCUUAUCUCAGCAGCAUUCAAGCAGAAAAUCAAGCCCCUUGGAAAGUGAAGAAAGAAAAUGGAUGAUGCACUAUGAUGCCCCAAGUGAUGAUGCUAAGCAGGAAGAAAUGACACCUUAUUCCUUGCUUACUGUAAGAAUCAUAAAGUUGACAAAUGCUCAUCAGGCAGAUUUUUGUAAGUAUCAGAUUGUUUUAUUGAUGUUACAUCAUUCUCAAAUUACUGUAUCAGCCCCUGCGUCUGCUAGAUAUUGCACAAAUGCAAAACACUAAAGUCAUACUAGCUAAGAAAUCACAGUUGAAGGCAAUUUAUGCCACGGAAUGUCUAUUUGCAAUCUCAGAGGUUUAUUUGGGCUUUUUACCAUACUAUUUAUCUGACAAGUUGUCUGUUUCAGGGGCUUGAAAAUACCUUAACACCGGUUUUAACACAGAGAUGUUUAUAUAACAUGUUCAUGACAAAUGCAUAGAAUAUAGAGCUGAAAUACUUACACACCAGUCUCUCUUAAGUCUUGGGUUAUCCUGAGCAUCAUGACAUCAGCUGGCUCUUGCCCCCCAGUGAAAGAUGUUGGACAGAAAUCUUUUGGGGACUGUGGUACAUGGUACAUUUCAGCUGUCAUGCAAAGUGUUCUGAAAAUUUGUGAUAUUUGGACAGUCUUUGCCUGUGGUUCACAUUCCCAGAGAUUUUUCUCUGAGAGUUUUGUCCUGCAUGUGGCGCACCACUAAUAUCACAGUUUUACAUAUCCCUUUACCAUACUGUUCUUCCUUCUCUUGUUUUGCAUUUUCUUUUCUUUUUUGGGAGAUUAUGAUGAAGGUUGCUGAAGCCAUAAAAUCCUACAGAUAAAAUUUCUCAGCAUCUCUUUGUAUUUCACUCACUUCAGUGUUUCAAGAGCAUGGAUGUCACCCUUGUCAAUUUUCCAAUCAAGUGGAGAGAAGUGUCCUGUUCACAUUGUCUGUAAUGUCAGGCUUCAGAAAAUAGAAGAAAUAUAUGGUACAGAAGAAAAGGUCAAAUUAGUUUUUAUUCCUUUUGAGAGCUACGAAAUACUGCAUGUAUGUGUAAGACUUCACCUUCAUUCCUUUGAACUGUUGAUUUAAUUUCUCUUAAUAUCACCAUUGACCUAGAAUGAAAAUUGAACCAGAUAAGAAGCAUUAUUCAGCUGCUUAUACAAAGGAAUUGCACAAAAUAAAAUGAUGCUGCAUUCUCAGAAAACAGUGUUCCAAUUGUGACCUUUUCCUCCAUUCUGAGGACAGGGAGAUUUCUGAGAGGUGUCACUUAGUGUGUUGUAGACAUUUUGAAAAUUUCUAUUAUCACCAAAAUGUACACUGCUGGAGUAGAGCUCAAGACGUGUGGGCUCGGGGUCUGUUCACGGACUUGUUGAAUAAGAAGUUUAGGUAAAUUUAUACAUCAAAAUAUUCUGUGACUCUGAUGCCCUGUCGACAAAAUAUCUUCUCCAACACAUUUUGUUUCUCUCUUAUCUAUUUAGGCGGCGUGCUCAUUUUGAAUCUCCUGGUAUUGUAGAGAGAUUUUAAUUUAAGAUGUUAGGUAACUAGAGACAGUGGGAAAUAUUUUCAGAUUCUUUUGUUAAUUGCCAGUAAAUUAGGCUUGGGUACC
rnacentral:lncRNA from 1 species